AGAGAGUGUGUAUAUGGAGAAGACACAGUAUUUUUAUCAGAUCAAGAAGAUGAAGGGGAUGAUGUCAUCAAUUGUGUCUGUGCUUCCAGGGGGGUUUAGUCCCGAGGGUUCGUCCCCUUUUCCGUUGUGUUGUUUCUUCCCUUCUCCCAGGUUCUCUUUUAUAGAAGGGGAUUACGUUACCUGGGAGGUGACAGGAGAAUUUGUCCCUUUCCGUAAUAAUUGGACACGAUUUGGCCCAUUAAUGGCGUAGUGGAGAACGGGACCGAAUCAGACCGGAACCAGGGAGUUGUCACGGUCGAUCGGACCUGUUGGAGUAGUUGAACUGCCGGCCGUGGCGGACCCGGGGUCCGUGGAUGGUAAGUGCAUUUAUUACCGAAUGAACCGGCGGUCAGGGAGAGCCAUACGCUCUGAUGGUUCAGUGAUCCGGAGAUCGUCUUGGGCCGUGUUCAUUAAAUGACUGAGUGCAUCGGAGACUUGAGAGGGUCUCAUGCAUUAAUGACAAGUCGUGCUGAAUGCCUGCGAAGAUCUUAUGCCUUGAUGGCUUGAAG
rnacentral:lncRNA from 1 species